CAACCCAAGACGAUUGUCGCAAUCUAGUUGGGCAAGACGAGGCAGCAAUAUCACUGCAAACAAGGAAGGAUUUGUCGAGACAGACUCUGUGAACGAAAGCAAUCCAGAGUCAGUGGAAUACACAAGAUUGAAC